rnacentral:lncRNA from 1 species
UUGAAAAGUGCAUUGGGAAAAUACAUGGAGAGGAACUCUUUUUAAUAGCUCCUAGACGUCAUGCUGCCACCCGUGACUCUGGCGUCCUCUGCUGAACUCUUGCACAGAGUAGAAGGAAAAGGCCAGGUUUCCAAGGAUCAUUGAUCACAGCCCCUCUCUCAGCACCAUCCUGUUCCCUUCUGGCAUGGCUAAUAUUUGGCUCCAGGGACUCCAGCC